rnacentral:lncRNA from 1 species
ACUCUAUCAAUAGGAAUGCCAGCCAAGUUUUCUUUCUGAAUUGCAAGCAAAAUGUCCAAAAAAUCCUUUUGGUCAUCAUAUCCACUCCUUGAACUAUGGUUCAUAUGCUCUUCAACCACUGUAUCUAUAAAGUCAUCCAACUGCUUAGCCACCUUGUCUAACUUGGCUCCCAAACCAUUGACAUGGCUCAACCAAGAAAGCCAUGGGAUAUAGUCCCCAAUAUUAACAGUUCCCAGUAAGUCAGCGAAAUCCCCUAAAAUCUCCUUAAACAUCCUCCCACUUUCCCCGCCUUCCCCUUCACUGUACUUCCUCCCUAGAGCCACUCUACACACUACAUCAUUAGUAAGCCUCACAAACAUCUCGCUUAGAUUCAAAACAGAUGAUGAUGAUGAGUCCUUUAUGUUUCUGAUCAUGGAUUUGGUUUCCUCUUCUCUCACAGAACGAAAAGACCGAACCCUUCUGUUGCUCAAAAGAUUUAAAACACAUAUACUUCUCACCUGCCUCCAAUACUCACCAUACGGAGCGGUUGCGACAUCUUUGUAGUUGUAGAGAAGCUUCUCAAAGAUUGUGGACUUGGGUCGAUCAGAAAACGCAAGGUCAUGAGUUUUCAAGAUCUCCCGGGCUGCCUCAGCUGAAGAGACAACAAGCACCGGGACACUUCCAAAGUGGAGAAGCAUGAGAGGGCCAUGGCGUUGGGACAAGGCUUGAAGUGAGCGAUGAGUGUACGAUCCUAUCUGGUGAAGGUUUCCAAUGAUAGGUAGCUUUGGCGGAGAAGGUGGUUGUGUUGAUUUUUGGGUGGUGGUUUUAGUCGAAGAGUACCAUGUGUAUAGGAGGACAAGGAAAAUGGCCAGCAGUGUGAAGGCCAAUGGUUGCAAAAAGGAGGAGCUUUCAUUUAGCUCUUGCAAUACUUGCAAGGUAUUUAGCAUCUUCAGGGUUAGUGCUAAGAAAAGAAUGUGUUGUGUGUGUUUUUUAUAAAGGCAAAGAUCAUCCUACCAUGCAGAACAGAACCGUCCGUGG